rnacentral:rRNA from 1 species
UACGAAGGGGGCUAGCGUUGUUCGGAAUUACUGGGCGUAAAGCGCGCGUAGGCGGUUUUGCAAGCCAGAGGUGAAAUGCCUGAGCUCAACUUAGGAAUUGCCUUUGGGACUGUGAGGCUUUGAGGACGGAAGAGGUGAGUGGAAUUCCCAGUGUAGAGGUGAAAUUCGUAGAUAUUGGGAAGAACACCGGUGGCGAAGGCGGCUCACUGGUCCGUUUCUGACGCUAAAGCGCGAAAGCGUGGGGAUCGAACAGGAUUAGAAACCCGUGUAGU